AGAAAUUUGGAUUAAUACCUUAUAGUAUCUUAAGUGAGCAUUCACUAAGGAUUAAAGAUUUAUUGCUAUAAGAUGACUAUGCGUUCUAUUAGCUAGUUGGUAUGGUAACGGCAUACCAAGGCUACGAUAGAUAGGGGUCCUGAGAGGGAGAUCCCCCACACUGGUACUGAGACACGGACCAGACUCCUACGGGAGGCAGCAGUGAGGAAUAUUGGACAAUGGAGGCAACUCUGAUCCAGCCAUGCCGCGUGUAGGAAGACUGCCCUAUGGGUUGUAAACUACUUUUAUAGAGGAAGAAACAAUAUUACGUGUAAUAUUCUGACGGUACUCUACGAAUAAGGAUCGGCUAACUCCGUGCCAGCAGCCGCGGUAAUACGGAGGAUCCAAGCGUUAUCCGGAAUCAUUGGGUUUAAAGGGUCCGUAGGCGGGUUUGUAAGUCAGUGGUGAAAGUUUUCGGCUCAACCGGAAAAUUGCCAUUGAUACUGCAAGUCUUGAAUUAUUGUGAAGUGGUUAGAAUGUGUAGUGUAGCGGUGAAAUGCAUAGAUAUUACACAGAAUACCGAUUGCGAAGGCAGAUCACUAACAAUUAAUUGACGCUAAG
rnacentral:rRNA from 1 species